rnacentral:rRNA from 1 species
AGCGAACGCUGGCAGCAGGCUUAACACAUGCAAGUCGAGCGGGCAUAGCAAUAUGUCAGCGGCAGACGGGUGAGUAACGCGUGGGAACGUACCUUUUGGUUCGGAACAACUGAGGGAAACUUCAGCUAAUACCGGAUAAGCCCUUACGGGGAAAGAUUUAUCACCGAAAGAUCGGCCCGCGUCUGAUUAGCUAGUUGGUGAGGUAAUGGCUCACCAAGGCGACGAUCAGUAGCUGGUCUGAGAGGAUGAUCAGCCACAUUGGGACUGAGACACGGCCCAAACUCCUACGGGAGGCAGCAGUGGGGAAUAUUGGACAAUGGGCGAAAGCCUGAUCCAGCCAUGCCGCGUGAGUGAUGAAGGCCUUAGGGUUGUAAAGCUCCUUCAGUAGGGAAGAUAAUGACGGUACCUACAGAAGAAGCCCCGGCUAACUUCGUGCCAGCCGCCGCCGUAAGAC